GCUAAAUCAUGGGAUCACGUACAAUCACCGAAGUUAAGAAACAUCGGGCCUGGCCAGUACCUAGAUGGGUGACCACUUGGGAAUACCAGGUGCUGUAAG